AGUGAACGCUGGCGGCAGGCCUAACACAUGCAAGUCGAGCGGCAGCGCGGGGGCAACCCUGGCGGCGAGCGGCGGACGGGUGAGGAAUUCGUCGGAAUCUGCCUUUUUGUGGGGGAUAACGUAGGGAAACUUACGCUAAUACCGCAUACGACCUACGGGUGAAAGUGGGGGACCGCAAGGCCUCACGCAGAAAGAUGAGCCGACGACCGAUUAGCUAGUUGGUGGGGUAAAGGCCCACCAAGGCGACGAUCGGUAGCUGGUCUGAGAGGAUGAGCAGCCACACUGGGACUGGGACACGGCCCGGACUCCUACGGGAGGCAGCAGUGGGGAAUAUUGGACAAUGGGCGCAAGCCUGAUCCAGCCAUGCCGCGUGUGUGAAGAAGGCCUUCGGGUUGUAAAGCACUUUUGUCCGGAAAGAAAUCUUCCAACUUAAUACGUUGGGAGGAUGACGGUACCGGAAGAAUAAGCACCGGCUAACUUCGUGCCAGCCGCCGCAGUAA
rnacentral:rRNA from 1 species